UACGUAGGUGGCAAGCGUUGUCCGGAAUUAUUGGGCGUAAAGCGCGCGCAGGUGGUUCCUUAAGUCUGAUGUGAAAGCCCACGGCUCAACCGUGGAGGGUCAUUGGAAACUGGGGAACUUGAGUGCAGAAGAGGAAAGUGGAAUUCCAAGUGUAGCGGUGAAAUGCGUAGAGAUUUGGAGGAACACCAGUGGCGAAGGCGGUCUGCUGGGCAGUUGCUGACACUGAUGCGCGACAGCGUGGGGAGCAAACAGG
rnacentral:rRNA from 1 species